rnacentral:lncRNA from 1 species
GCAGGUUUCAAACAAGUUAAAUAGGUUUCAAACAGGUUAAAUGGAUUGGGUCAUAACCUGAUCCAAUUAUUAUACAAAUCAAAAUAGGUUAAAUGGGUCCAAGGUUUAAACCUAAACACAAUCCAUUUAAUAGACAAGUUUAGAUGGUUUGACCCAUUUACGAUCCAAAUCCGUCUAUGUCAAAUCCAGACCUGCUUAAAGUGGGUCGUUCGCAUGUAGGGUUGAUGGGUCAGGUCAUAAUUUGCCACUCCUAACUAAUAUACUAGAGCGACUGUGGGUGCCAACUAGGGAAUCCUAAUUAACAUGUCGAGAUAGCUUGGGUCAAUGAGGAAUCUUAAACUAGAUAACUUGAGUGCUCUUACAUGUUUACCAUCACCACAAGUAU